UCACAACAGGAUCCACAACGUCAAACUAUGCUUGCUGAUAACGAAUGGUGGGAGAGAAAAAUCAAGGGUAAUGGCGAAUGAUGACUCUUGGAACGAUAAUGAGUAUUAUAGAUGCAACAAUUCUAGGAGCAGUAGUAGCAAUUAGUGAACUUACAUAUGUUGUGCCACGUCAAAUGUGUUGGACUUCUCAAAUGUCUGGUCAUAAAUGGAUAACAGAUUUACUUCGAGGUAGCCGAAGCAAAUUGUUGUCUAUAUUGAGGAUGAAAAAACGUGUAUUUGUUGAUUUGUGCAAUGAAUUGUCAAUCAAUUAUGGAUUGGUAACA